GAUAGAAGAAGUAUAAUAGUAAAUGAAGCGGCAUAAAGCAAUGCAGCGUCUAUUGUAAAGAUACUCACCGCUUUUCUCAAAUACACGGACUUGGCGAAGGGAAAGAGAGAGUUGUAUCAUGUAAAGCAGGACCUAGUAGGCAGGAUAUGAAAGAAUGAAGAGGCAGAAGUCAGUGAAGAAGAUGCUACGAGUAGAAACACCACUGUGACUGGUCGAGAAGCCAUGGUUGCUAAGCCGUUGCUAAGCAAAAUGUGGCCACACCUACCGCUUUUCUCCAUUGAAAUGUUAGGCAAAGCAGCUCUCUCUAGCCGCUCGCCUUUUCUACUCACUUCUAGAGGAUUUCACAAGCCAAAGUUUGGGUCGCGCUACUGGACUUUUCUACCUAUAUACUCUGUUUUUAGUCUUUGACAAUGUUAUAUAUGUUAGAGAGAUGAAAGGAGAACCUUUUAAAGCUAUCUAGAAUGUUAUAUUUCCAUAAAUAAAAAAGAAAAUAACAA
rnacentral:lncRNA from 1 species